CCUACGGGAGGCUGCAGUGGGGAAUUUUGGACAAUGGGGGCAACCCUGAUCCAGCCAUUCCGCGUGAGUGAAGAAGGCCUUCGGGUUGUAAAGCUCUUUCGCAAGGGAAGAAAACUUACUCAAUAACACUGGGUGAGGCUGACGGUACCUUGAUAAGAAGCACCGGCUAACUACGUGCCAGCAGCCGCGGUAAUACGUAGGGUGCGAGAGUUAAUCGGAGCGACUGGGGGUAAAGUUGGCGCUCGGAGGUGAAAUCCCCGGGCUCAACCUGGGAACUGCGUUUGAAACUACAAGGCUAGAGUAUGGCAGAGGGGGGUAGAAUUCCACGUGUAGCAGUGAAAUGCGUAGAGAUGUGGAGGAAUACCAAUGGCGAAGGCAGCCCCCUGGGUCAAUACUGACGCUCAUGCACGAAAGCGUGGGGAGCAAACAGGAUUAGAUACCCCUGUAGUC
rnacentral:rRNA from 1 species